UUAAAAGUAGCUUCUUAAAAAGCCAAAAACCCUUCUUCUCGGCUUCUCCUUAGAAAGAAAACGCAGCGCACUUGUUCUCCCCAGUAAUUUCAAAAUCAGAACAUAAAUAAAAGGUAACAAAAUUUGGUAUUUUAAAUUUUUUAUUCAAGCUAGAGGAAACAGGAAUUGGGGCUUUCUCAUAUUGCUUAUGCUUUGUUAAAAUUAAAAUAUAUUCAAUGAAUUUUUUGUAUUACUUUGCUGAAAAGAGUCAGUGACUACAAUAUUUUUGUGAUAAAAAAUUAUUUUUGGUACUUGUCAUAAAGUAAAUUUACUUGUUUAUGUUAUUUACUUGACACCGAAACUAAAAUUUUGGGACAAAUGAAGAUUAUAUUAGCAACACUGGUCACUGGGUUAUGCAAUUGAUGAAUUGGUGCUCAUACACUCAUUGCUAGCUUCGAAAAUUUGAGUUUUUCAUCGAUCUUUGUGAAUCGAGAUGGAUAAGUUUGUCACAAGGCUACCCAGUUCUAGUUCUAGUUCUCAUCCAUCUAUUGCUCCAUCCAUAGCUCCGGAAACUCAGAGGGAUCCAUUUUUUUCAAAUCUUGAUUUGGAAUCUCUCGAACCUGACCCGGGAGAUAGAAAAUCCAUUACAGAAUAUAGUCCUAAUAUACGUGAUGAAGUUGGAAGACAUUAUAUUAAAAGUGGACCUUGCCAGCUCGUGAAAUAUGAUUUUUCUAAAACUAAGUUUGGAAGGUAUUUGUCCUAGUUGGUUCAAGGGUAAAGAUGCUGCAUAUUGUUUAUGUUGUUAUUUGUUUAAAAAUGAACAUGAAAUUCAUGGAAAUAUGGGAGAUGCUUUUACAAAAAAUGAUUUUAAAGCUUGGAACAAGGCUAUUGAAAGAUUUAAAACACAUGUUGGAGGGGUAGAUAGCAUCCACAACAAGUGUUUCAAUAGGAUGAUUGAUUUAAUGAAUCAAUCACAAUCAAGAGGUUCUUUAACAUGAAAGGAAUUAGUGACCUUGCUAAAGUGUUGGUUAAGUCAGAUUUGCAUCAAACUUGGCCACUUGUUUAUUUGCUUAUCAAGUUAACUCUCAUUCUUCCUGU